AACGAACGCUGGCGGCAUGCCUAACACAUGCAAGUUGAACGAGAUCUUCGGGUCUAGUGGCGCACGGGUGCGUAACGCGUGGGAAUCUGCCCUUUGGUUCGGAAUAACAGUUGGAAACGCCUGCUAAUACCGGAUGAUGACGAAAGUCCAAAGAUUUAUCGCCAGAGGAUGAGCCCGCGUAGGAUUAGCUAGUUGGUGUGGUAAAGGCGCACCAAGGCGACGAUCCUUAGCUGGUCUGAGAGGAUGAUCAGCCACACUGGGACUGAGACACGGCCCAGACUCCUACGGGAGGCAGCAGUGGGGAAUAUUGGACAAUGGGCGGAAGCCUGAUCCAGCAAUGCCGCGUGAGUGAUGAAGGCCUUAGGGUUGUAAAGCUCUUUUACCCGGGAUGAUAAUGACAGUACCGGGAGAAUAAGCUCCGGCUAACUCCGUGCCAGCAGCCGCCGUAA
rnacentral:rRNA from 1 species